rnacentral:rRNA from 1 species
UACGUAGGGUGCGAGCGUUAAUCGGAAUUACUGGGCGUAAAGCGUGCGCAGGCGGUUUUGUAAGCCAGAUGUGAAAUCCCCGGGCUUAACCUGGGAAUGGCAUUUGGGACUGCAAGGCUUGAGUGCGGCAGAGGAGACUGGAAUUCCUGGUGUAGCAGUGAAAUGCGUAGAUAUCAGGAGGAACACCGAUGGCGAAGGCAGGUCUCUGGGCUGACACUGACGCUCAUACACGAAAGCGUGGGGAGCAAACAGG